AGAAAAGUCCAGUUCUGUUAGUAACUAGAUUUUUGUAUAGAAGAGAUAACGAAAGUCUUUGGCACAGGCUGUAAAAAGGUUUUGGAAAGAAGUAGAGGUAACAAAAGUGACAAGGGUAGUUAAAAAAAUGAACAGUAAGGAGUAUGAUGCAUUAAGGAGAAAUAUGAUCCUAUCAGAAAUUAUGAUUAUGGCCAAUAAAUGUGAAAAAGUUUGAGAACAUUUAUUUCUUUAUUAAUUGCUUUAGAUACUUUAUUCAUUGAUUAAGAGUUGCUUACUUUCAUGAAAUCCCGUUUUCUGAUCUGAGCUAAACAGGGCAAGUUUAAAGGCGGGGCUCAGAAGAGUUCAUAGCCUUUUUACUACAUUCAUUUUUAAAUGCCUUAUUUGAAAGAGGAUGUCCUAGUUUAUGAUUUUCAUAUUUUUUUCCCUUUUAGAAAGAGGCAGAUGGUAUGAAAACUGGACUCCCUUAUUUAAAGGGAAUGUUGAUAUUUAUAACCAAGCUUAUCUCCAGCAAGAUUUGUUUUUUGCAGCUGUUCCAGGGGCAAAUAGCAAAUUACUGACAAUAAUCAUUCUCUUUUGGAAAUAUCUUCUAGAGGACCUGAUUCAGAGGGAAAUAACUCAAUCAAAAUUAAUAUAAGAAACAAUAGCUAUCAUUCUGUUGGGUACCUUUGUUAAUUGAGUCUUAGAGUUGUACUGAAGAACAUUGAUCAUAUGGAUGUGUUGCUUUUCAAAUGUGAGUAUUCAACCAGGUCAGUAUUCUUUACUAGUGUAGACAAAAGCUAGUUGUCUAUAUUUCACAGUUACAGCAGAAUUCAGAUUAGAAUUAUAUUACAAAUAUUACAAAAAUAUUUUCUUAUUGUCAUUGUUAGCAAGAUCAGGGUAGGGUGGAACCCAGGUUCUCUGAUAAGGCUAGUUGAACUGUCCAAAGACCCCCUACUAGGAUAAAACAUAAACAGACACCUAAGCACAUCAAAAUUAAAUUGUUGAAAACAGGGAUAAAAGAAAUCUAAAAUAGUCACAGCAGGGGAUUUAUAUGAAGUAAAGAAAAAAAAUUAAUUUAAAGAAUGUUCUUCAAUACUAUGCCAACUAGAAGACAAAGGAGUGACAUAUUUCAAGUACUGAAAAAAAAAUUCUAUACCCAGCAAAAAUAUUCUUUAAACAUGAAAGACAAAACAAAUACUUAUGUAUCUAAAAAACCAGCUGAGAGAAUUUGUUGCCAAAAACUUACACUGCAAGAAAUGUUAAAGGAAGUUCUUCAGAAAAAAGGAAAAUUAAACAUCAAUCUAUGAAUGAAUAAAAAGAACUGGAAAUAGGAAAUAUGUUGAUAAAUAUGAAAAACAUUUUUCUCAUUUUUAAAACUUUGAAAAAUAUAUUUGUUUAAAGCAAAUAUAUUGGCUAUGGCUUAUUUAUUAUACAUGUAGAUGUAACAUGUGACAUAAUAAUGUCCCAAAGGAUUGGGGAAGGAAAAUGGAAGUUUACUGUAGUAGUAGCAGAUUAUUUGAAGAUAGACUGUGACAAGAAAUAUAUGGACAUUAUAAAUUCUAGAGUGACCACUAAAAAUAUGAAACAAGAAGGAAUAACUACAAAUUAAAAGGGAAGAUAGAAUAGAAUACUAAAAUAUGUUCAAUUAAUUGCAAAGCAGAAAGUAAAGAACAAGGAAAAGAAUAGAACAUAAAUUUCAUGAUAGUAGAUAUAAACACAAACAAUUCCAUUAAAUAAAGUGAUUCUCACACUCCAUUUAUAUAUAUAUAUAUAUAUAAAUGAACUCAUUGAAUGUUUAUCAAAUUUAAUCUUUAGGUAAUGUAUUCUCCUUGGUUCUUAGAGUCUCUUCAAAAUUUGCAUAUAUAU
ensembl:lincRNA